rnacentral:rRNA from 1 species
AUGGUGAGGGGCGGGAGCAUGCGGCGGCCCUCGCUGGCGCUGGCGGCGGUCUCGGAGCCCGCGGCGCCGGAGUUCACCUUGUCGGCGGACGACUACAGGCUCAUGGAGGAGGUGGGCUUCGGCGCCAACGCCGUCGUCUACCGCGCCAUCUUCCUCCCCGCCAACCGCACCAUCGCCGUCAAGUGCCUCGAUCUCGACCGCAUCAACAGUAACCUCGAUGAUGUUCGCAAGGAGGCUCAGAUUAUGAAAUUGAUAGAUCAUCCUAAUGUCAUCAAGGCUUAUUGCUCAUUUGUUGUCGAUCACAACCUUUGGGUCAUAAUGCCCUUCAUGGCCGAGGGUUCAUGUUUACACCUAAUGAAGGUCGCACAUCCUGAUGGCCUGGAGGAGCCUGUUAUCUGCUCUAUUCUUAAAGAAACACUCAAGGCUCUGGCUUACCUCCAUGGCCAAGGACAUAUCCACCGUGAUGUUAAGGCGGGCAAUAUCCUUGUUGAUAGCCCUGGUGUAGUGAAGCUUGGGGACUUUGGUGUAUCUGCUUGCUUGUUUGAUAGAGGCGAUAGGCAAAGAUCCAGGAAUACAUUUGUGGGAACACCGUGCUGGAUGGCUCCAGAAGUUCUCCAGCCUGGAACCGGUUAUAAUUUCAAAGCUGAUAUUUGGUCAUUUGGAAUAACUGCACUGGAGCUUGCACAUGGCCACGCUCCCUUCUCUAAGUACCCUCCCAUGAAGGUUCUUCUCAUGACCCUUCAAAAUGCACCACCAGGUCUUGACUAUGACCGCGAUAGAAAAUUCUCAAAGUCUUUCAAGGAAAUGGUUGCAAUGUGCUUGGUAAAAGAUCAAACUAAGCGGCCAACAGCUGAGAAGUUACUAAAGCAUUCGUUUUUCAAGAACACAAAGGCCCCACAGCUGACAGUUAAGAGCAUCUUAACCGAUUUGCCCCCUCUGUGGGAUCGUGUGAAGGCACUCCAGCAAAAAGAUGCAGCACACCUGGCUUCAUCAGAACAGGAAGCACUUUCCAUGAGUGAGUAUCAACGAGGUGUCAGUGCAUGGCACUUUGAUAUUGAGGAUCUCAAGGCUCAAGCAUUACUGAUUAAUGAUGACGAUCCAACUGAAUUGAAGGAAGAUGAUGACAGUGCCCGAAUAAACGAAGUUGAUAAGGGCACAUCUUUUGAGAGUCAUUUUGGACAAUCAAUGCUUCUGAAUGGAAAUAACCACAGGUUGAAUCAUGAACGAACUUGUACCACUGCAGUAAAUCCAGGUGGAAAUGGCCCUGAAACAAGUGAUGAAUUCGCUUCUGACCUUGGCAAUGCUGAUAGUCCAAGGAUGGUUGAUGGACACAUAAAGCAAGGAACAGAAAAUGAUUCAUUGUCCUCUACAUCGAAGCAAGGUUCUGAGGGUGGAAACCGCAGGAGUGAAGUUAGACAAAGACAAAGGACAUUCUCUGGUCCGGUUAUGUAUUCUGGUACCCGCAGUAGUUCACUCAUUGAAAGAGGUUAUAUUAUUGAUAAGGAUGCAGGAGCUCGAUCACCUAAUAAACAAAAGAGUGACACGGGAAGAAUCGAUGAUCUUAGUGGUCCGCUUUCACUUUCAACUCGUGCUUCUGCAAAUAGUCUGUCUGCCCCUAUUCGGUCUUCUGGAGGAUAUGUGGGCUCCUUGGGAGACAAGCCUAGGGUGGAAAUAAAAGGCCGAUUUUCCGUAACAUCCGAAAAUGUGGAUCUGGCGAAGGUUCAGGAAAUUCCAGUGGUCAAAAUUUCACCUAAACCACAGGAGGUAAGAACUCAGGUCUCUACAAUGAAAAGAUCAGCCAGUGUUGGUGCUUGGCCAGUGAAGGCUAAGUCAAUGUCUAAUAGUCAUCAUCGGAAGGAAUUCCGUGACAGCUCAGUAUCUGCAUCAAUUCUGAUUCCCCAUCUUGAAAACCUUGUACAGCAGACGACAUUUCAGCAAGAUAUCAUCACGAACCUAAUGAGUAACUUGCAACAGAAUGAGAAACCGAAUGGGCCUCAGACUAGAGUUCAGACUAUGGUGGGUGAUACAGGGGUUGAAACGGGCAGUGCUGAGAGAGAACGGAAACUGCUUGCUAAAGUAUUCGAAUUACAGUCAAGGAUGAUUUCUUUGACCGACGAGUUGAUUGCAUCAAAGCUAAAGCAUGUUCAGCUGCAAGAAGAGCUAAAUACACACUACUGCCAAGAAGAAACAGGCGACACAGGAGAGGAUGACAGCGGAGAGGCAUGA